rnacentral:rRNA from 1 species
CCUACGGGAGGCAGCAGUGAGGAAUAUUGGUCAAUGGGCGCAAGCCUGAACCAGCCAAGUAGCGUGAAGGAUGACUGCCCUACGGGUUUUAAACUUCUUUUAUAAAGGACUAAAGUGGGGCACGUGGGCCUUUUUGUAUGUACUUUAUGAAUAAGGAUCGGCUAACUCCGUGCCGGCAGCCGCGGUAAUACGGAGGAUCCGAGCGUUAUCCGGAUUUAUUGGGUUUAAAGGGAGCGUAGAUGGGUUGUUAAGUCAGUUGUGAAUGUUUGCGGCUUAACCGUAAAAUUGCAAUUGAUACUAGCAGCCUUGAGUACAGGUGAGGUAGGAGGAAUGCGUGGUGUAGCGGUGAAAUGCUUAGAUAUCACGAAGAACUCCGAUUGCGAAGGCAGCUUACUAAUCUGCCACUGACAUUGAUGCUCGAAAGUGUGGGUAUCAAACAGGAUUAGAUACCCCUGUAGUC